AUGAACGCUGGCGGCGUGCCUAAUACAUGCCAGUCGAGCGAACAGACGAGGAGCUUGCUCCUCUGACGUUAGCGGCGGACGGGUGAGUAACCCGUGGAUAACCUACCUAUAAGACUGGGAUAACUUCGGGAAACCGGAGCUAAUACCGGAUAACAUGUUGAACCGCAUGGUUCAACAGUGAAAGACGGUUUUGCUGUCACUUAUAGAUGGAUCCGCGUCGCAUUAGCUAGUUGGUAAGGUAACGGCUUACCAAGGCAACGAUGCGUAGCCGACCUGAGAGGGUGAUCGGCCACACUGGAACUGAGACACGGUCCAGACUCCUACGGGAGGCAGCAGUAGGGAAUCUUCCGCAAUGGGCGAAAGCCUGACGGAGCAACGCCGCGUGAGUGAAGAAGGUCUUCGGAUCGUAAAACUCUGUUAUUAGGGAAGAACAAAUGUGUAAGUAACUAUGCACGUCUUGACGGUACCUAAUCAGAAAGCCACGGCUAACUACGUG
rnacentral:rRNA from 1 species